rnacentral:lncRNA from 1 species
UGUCGUCAUAGUCAUACUGUAUAAUACACAGCUGUGUGUAUAUAUAUAUAUAGCCCAUAUAUAUAUAUAUAUAACUAUGAAUGAAAGGGAUCACAUAUAUAUAUAAUUUACAUGGAGUCUGGCAUUGAUCUCAAUUUCACCACAAAUCAAUUAAAAUCUCCUCUUAAUCCCCUCAAAUGAAUGAACCAAAACUUGUGAAAUCCUUAUAAUAUAAGUGAGUAACUAGCUAGUGAGAAUAAGGAGAUGAUGCUUGAAUCCUUCUCCUUCUCUUCUGGAGGAACUGUUGCAAAGAUCUCUUCAUAGAAAGACCAGUAUUUUCCUUGUACAUUUGAGNNNNNNNN